rnacentral:rRNA from 1 species
GAUGAACGCUGGCGGCGUGCCUAAUACAUGCAAGUCGAGCGAACAGACGAGGAGCUUGCUCCUCUGACGUUAGCGGCGGACGGGUGAGUAACACGUGGAUAACCUACCUAUAAGACUGGGAUAACUUCGGGAAACCGGAGCUAAUACCGGAUAAUAUAUUGAACCGCAUGGUUCAAUAGUGAAAGACGGUUUUGCUGUCACUUAUAGAUGGAUCCGCGCCGCAUUAGCUAGUUGGUAAGGUAACGGGUUACCAAGGCAACGAUGCGUAGCCGACCUGAGAGGGUGAUCGGCCACAUUGGAACUGAGCCACCGUCCAGACUCCUACGGGACGCAGCAGUCGGGAAUCUUCCGCAAUGGGCGAAAGCCUGACGGAGCAACGCCGCGUGAGUGAUGAAGGUCUUCGGAUCGUAAAACUCUGUUAUUAGGGAGGAACAAAUUUGUAAUUAACUAUGCACGUCUUGACGGUACCUAAUCAGAAAGCCACGGCUAACUACGUG